GAUGAACGCUGGCGGCGCGCCUAACACAUGCAAGUCGAACGGCACCCCGCCUCGGUGGGAAGCGAGUGGCUAACGGCUGAGUAACACGUGGAGAACCUGCCCCCUCCCCCGGGAUAGCCGCCCGAAAGGACGGGUAAUACCGGAUACCCCGGGGUGCCUCAUGGCACCCCGGCUAAAGCCCCGACGGGAGUGGAUGGCUCCGCGGCCCAUCAGGUAGACGGCGGGGUGACGGCCCACCGUGCCGACAACGGGUAGCCGGGUUGAGAGAACGACCGCCCAGGUCGGGAGUGAGACACGGCCCGGGACUCUACCGGAAGGAGCGGUGGGGAAUCGUAGGAACGGCGGGGAAGCCUGGAGCAGCGACGCAGCGUGCGGGACGGAGAUCUUCGGGUAGUAAACCGCUUUGAGCAGGGGAGAGUCAAGACUGUACCUGAAGAAGAAGCCCCGGCUAACUACGUG
rnacentral:rRNA from 1 species